rnacentral:rRNA from 1 species
UACGUAGGGUGCAAGCGUUGUCCGGAAUUAUUGGGCGUAAAGAGCUUGUAGGCGGUUUGUCGCGUCUGCUGUGAAAUUUCGGGGCUCAACCCCGAACUUGCAGUGGGUACGGGCAGACUAGAGUGUGGUAGGGGAGACUGGAAUUCCUGGUGUAGCGGUGAAAUGCGCAGAUAUCAGGAGGAACACCGGUGGCGAAGGCGGGUCUCUGGGCUGACACUGACGCUCAUGCACGAAAGCGUGGGGAGCAAACAGG